rnacentral:sRNA from 1 species
UUUUUUUACUUCCCUUG